CACGUAGGCAGCGAGCGUUGUUCGGAGUUACUGGGCGUAAAGGGUGUGUAGGCGGUUCUUUAAGUUUGGUGUGAAAUCUCCCGGCUCAACCGGGAGGGUGCGCCGAAUACUGAGGGACUUGGAGUGCGGGAGAGGAAAGUGGAAUUCCUGGUGUAGCGGUGAAAUGCGUAGAUAUCAGGAGGAACACCGGUGGUGUAGACGGCUUUCUGGACCGUAACUGACGCUGAGACACGAAAGCGUGGGUAGCAAACAGG
rnacentral:rRNA from 1 species